rnacentral:rRNA from 1 species
UACGUAGGGGGCAAGCGUUGUCCGGAUUCAUUGGGCGUAAAGGGCGCGUAGGCGGCCUUCUAAGUCGAACGUGAAAUCCCUGGGCUCAACCCAGGAACUGCGUCCGAUACUGGAAGGCUUGAAUCCGGGAGAGGGAUGCGGAAUUCCAGGUGUAGCGGUGAAAUGCGUAGAUAUCUGGAGGAACACCGGUGGCGAAGGUGGCAUCCUGGACCGGUAUUGACGCUGAGGCGCGAAAGCCAGGGGAGCAAACGGG